UACGUAGGGUGCAAGCGUUGUCCGGAAUUAUUGGGCGUAAAGAGCUCGUAGGCGGUUUGUCACGUCGGAUGUGAAACCCUGAGGCUCAACCUCAGGCCUGCAUUCGAUACGGGCAGACUAGAAUUCGGCAGGGGAGACUGGAAUUCCUGGUGUAGCGGUGAAAUGCGCAGAUAUCAGGAGGAACACCGGUGGCGAAGGCGGGUCGCUGGGCCGAUAUUGACGCUGAGGAGCGAAAGCGUGGGGAGCAAACAGG
rnacentral:rRNA from 1 species